rnacentral:rRNA from 1 species
GAUGAACGCUGGCGGCGUGCCUAACACAUGCAAGUCGAGCGAACGCACCAGAGGCUCGCUUCUCUGAUGUUAGCGGCGGACGGGUGAGUAACACGUGGGUAACCUACCUAUAAGUCUGGGAUAACUUCGGGAAACCGUAGCUAAUACCUGCUAAUAUUUUUAACCUCAUGGUUCAAAAGUGCAAGACGAUCUUGCUGUCACUUAUAGAUGGAUCCGCGCUGGAUUAGCUGGUGGGUAAGGUAACGGCUUACCAAGGCAACGAGGCAUAGCGGUCCUGAGAGGACGGGCAAGCACAUUGGAACUGAGACACGGUGCAAACUCGUACGGGAGGAAGAGGUGAGGAAUAUUGGUCAAUGGGCGGGAGCCUGAACCAGCCAAGUAGCGUGCAGGAGGACGGCCCUAUGGGUUGUAAUCUGCUUUUAUGCGGGGAUAAAGUGAGGGAAGUGUCCUUCAUUGCAGGUACCGCAUGAAUAAGGACCGGCUAAUUCCGUG